ACGUUGUCAAAAUGCAUGGGAAGACUGUCUUCCACAUGCAAUAGGCUGUUGUCUUUGGGCGUUUGUAUCAAACAUGGUGCUGGUGUGUUUCAGCACCCUUGUUGCUUCAGUGUUACAA